rnacentral:tRNA from 2 species
GACACUUUGGCCGAGUGGUUAAGGCGAUGCCCUGCUAUCAAUAGGUAUCAUAGGCAUUGUGUUCGCACGCGCAGGUUCGAAUCCUGCAGGUGUCG